UGGCUCAGAUCGAACGCUGGCGGCGUGGCUAAAACAUGCAAGUCGCACGGAAAGGCGGCUUCUGACCCUUCGGGUGACGAAGCUGUACUCGAGUGGCGAAAGGGCGAGGAAUACAUGGAUAACGUGCCUUUGGCAUGGGGACAGCUGAGGGAAACUUCAGGUAAUACCCAAUGAGACCACAGUGCUUUCGGGCACAGGGGUCAAAGAUGGGGCUCCUUCGGGACCUAUCGGCCAUAGAGCGGUCCAUGUCCUAUCAGCUUGUUGGUGAGGUAAUGGCUCACCAAGGCGACGACGGGUACCGGGACUGAGAGGUUGACCCGGCGCAUCGGGACUGAGACACUGCCCGGACUCCUACGGGAGGCUGCAGUAACGAAUAUUGGUCGAUGGGCGAAAGCCUGAACCAGCGACGCCGCGUGUGGGAGGAAGCCCUUCGGGGUGUAAACCACUGUCAGGGAUUACCAAGCAAUGGAGGCUAAUACCCUCCUGCGUUGAGGCGUCCCAGAGGAAGUCACGGCUAACUUCGUGCCAGCAGCCGCGGUAAUACGAAGGUGGCGAGCGUUGUUCGGAAUCACUGGGCUUAAAGAGCACGUAGGCGGACUGCCAAGCGUCUUGUGAAAUCCCCCGGCUCAACCGGGGAAUUGCUGGGCGAACUGGUAGUCUUGAGGCAAGUAGGGGCAGAUGGAACUCUUGGUGGAGCGGUGGAAUGCGUAGAUAUCAAGAGGAACGCCAGAGGCGGAGGCGAUCUGCUGGGCUUGACCUGACGCUGAGGUGCGAAAGCCAGGGGAGCAAACGGGAUUAGAUACCCCGGUAGUCCUGGCCAUAAACGAUGUCCACUAGAUCGGUGAACUUCUGACAGUGUGCCGGUCGAAACAAAAGCGUUAAGUGGACCGCCUGGGGAGUACGG
rnacentral:rRNA from 1 species